rnacentral:tRNA from 1 species
GCCUGGGUGACUCAGUCGGUUGAGUGUCUGACUUCAGCUCAGGUCAUCAUCUCGCAGUUUGUGAGUUUGAGCCCCACAUCAGGCU